rnacentral:rRNA from 1 species
AAACUUUCAACAACGGAUCUUUUGGUUCCGGCAUCGAUGAAGAACGCAGCGAAAUGCGAUAAGUAAUGUGAAUUGCAGAAUUCAGUGAAUCAUCGAGUCUUUGAACGCACAUUGCGCCCCCUGGUAUUCCGGGGGGCAUGCCUGUCCGAGCGUCAUU